GACGAACGCUGGCGGCGUGCCUAAUACAUGCAAGUAGGACGCAGUUGCGAACGGGGGAGUUACGCGUAGGUAACUGCCUAUUAGAGGGGGAUAACUAUUGGAAACGAUAGCUAAUACCGCAUACUAGUAGAUGGACCUGCGUUGUAUUAGCUAGUAGGUAGGGUAAGGGCCUACCUAGGCAAAGAUAAAUAGCCGACCCGGGAGGGUGAGCGGCCACACUGGGACUGGGAAACGGCCCAUACUCCUCCGGGAGGCAGCAGUAGGGAAUCUUCGGCAAUGGGGGGAAACCUGAACGAGCAACGCCGCGUGAGAGAAGAAGGUUUUCGGAUCGUAAAGCUCUGUUGUUAAGGAAGCGGUACUUAACCAGAAAGGGACGGCUAACUACGUGCCAGCAGCCGCGGUAAUAC
rnacentral:rRNA from 1 species